rnacentral:rRNA from 1 species
GACGAACCGUCCAAACGUUAUUCGGAAUCACUGGGCUUACAGAGUUCGUAGGCGGUCUGGCAAGUUGGGUGUGAAAUCCCUCGGCUCAACCGAGGAACUGCGCUCAAAACUACCCGACUCGAGGGAGAUAGAGGAAAGCGGAACUGAUGGUGGAGCGGUGAAAUGCGUUGAUAUCAUCAGGAACACCGGUGGCGAAGGCGGCUUUCUGGGUCUUACCUGACGCUGAGGAACGAAAGCCAGGGGAGCGAACGGG